rnacentral:rRNA from 1 species
GAGGCAGCAGUGAGGAAUAUUGGUCAAUGGCCGAGAGGCUGAACCAGCCAAGUCGCGUGAGGGAUGAAGGUUUAUGGAUCGUAAACCUCUUUUAUAAGGGAAUAAGUGCGGGACGUGUCCCGUUUUGUAUGUACCUUAUGAAUAAGGAUCGGCUAACUCCGUGCCAGCAGCCGCGGUAAUACGGAGGAUCCGAGCGUUAUCCGGAUUUAUUGGGUUUAAAGGGUGCGUAGGCGGCCUUUUAAGUCAGCGGUGAAAGUCUGUGGCUCAACCAUAGAAUUGCCGUUGAAACUGGGGGGCUUGAGUAUGUUUGAGGCAGGCGGAA